rnacentral:rRNA from 1 species
AUUGAACGCUGGCGGCAUGCCUUACACAUGCAAGUCGAACGGUAGCAGGUCUUCGGAUGCUGACGAGUGGCGAACGGGUGAGUAAUACAUCGGAACGUGCCCGAUCGUGGGGGAUAACGAAGCGAAAGCUUUGCUAAUACCGCAUAAGAUCUAAGGAUGAAAGCAGGGGACCGCAAGGCCUUGCGCGAACGGAGCGGCCGAUGGCAGAUUAGGUAGUUGGGGGGAUAAAAGCUUACCAAGCCGACGAUCUGUAGCUGGUCUGAGAGGACGACCAGCCAAACUGGGACUGAGACACGGACCAGACUCCUACGGGAGGCAGCAGUGGGGAAUUUUGGACAAUGGGCGCAAGCCUGAUCCAGCCAUGCCGCGUGCAGGAUGAAGGCCUUCGGGUUGUAAACUGCUUUUGUACGGAACGAAAAGACUCUGGUUAAUACCUGGGGUCCAUGACGGUACCGUAAGAAUAAGCACCGGCUAACUACGUGCCAGCCGCCGCGGUAAAAC